AUUGAACGCUGGCGGCGGGCCUAACACAUGCAAGUCGAGCGGAUGAAGGGAGCUUGCUCCUGGAUUCAGCGGCGGACGGGUGAGUAAUGCCUAGGAAUCUGCCUGGUAGUGGGGGAUAACGUCCGGAAACGGGCGCUAAUACCGCAUACGUCCUGAGGGAGAAAGUGGGGGAUCUUCGGACCUCACGCUAUCAGAUGAGCCUAGGUCGGAUUAGCUAGUUGGUGGGGUAAAGGCCUACCAAGGCGACGAUCCGUAACUGGUCUGAGAGGAUGAUCAGUCACACUGGAACUGAGACACGGUCCAGACUCCUACGGGAGGCAGCAGUGGGGAAUAUUGGACAAUGGGCGAAAGCCUGAUCCAGCCAUGCCGCGUGUGUGAAGAAGGUCUUCGGAUUGUAAAGCACUUUAAGUUGGGAGGAAGGGAAGUAAGUUAAUACCUUGCUGUUUUGACGUUACCAACAGAAUAAGCACCGGCUAACUUCGUG
rnacentral:rRNA from 1 species